rnacentral:rRNA from 1 species
CCUACGGGAGACAGCAGUGGGGGAUAUUGCACAAUGGGGGAAACCCUGAUGCAGCGACGCCGCGUGAGUGAAGAAGUAUUUCGGUAUGUAAAGCUCUAUCAGCAGGGAAGAAAAUGACAGUACCUGAACAAGAAGCCCCGGCUAACUACGUGCCAGCAGCCGCGGUAAUACGGAGGGGGCAAGCGUUAUCCGGAGUGACUGGGUGUAAAGGGAGCGUAGACGGUUCUGUAAGUCUGGAGUGAAAGCCCGGGGCCCCACCCCGGGACUGCUUGGGAAACUGUGUAACUGGAGUACAGGAGGGGCAGGCGGAAUUCCUGGUGUAGCGGUGAAAUGCGUAGAUAUCAGGCGGAACCCCGGCGGCGACGGCGGCCUGCUGGACUGCAACUGACGUUGAGGCUCGAAAGCGUGGGGAGCACACAGGAUUAGAUACCCGAGUAGUC